UACGGGGGGGGCAAGCGUUGUUCGGAAUUACUGGGCGUAAAGGGCGCGUAGGCGGUCUGCUAAGUUGGAUGUGAAAACUCUGGGCUUAACCCAGAGCCUGCAUUCAAUACUGACAGGCUAGAGUUCUGGAGGGGAUAGCGGAAUUCCUGGUGUAGAGGUGAAAUUCGUAGAUAUUCGCAAGAACACCAGUGGCGAAGGCGGCUCACUGGCCCGAUACUGACGCUGAGGCACGAAAGCGUGGGGAGCGAACAGG
rnacentral:rRNA from 1 species